rnacentral:misc_RNA from 1 species
GGAAGUAAAAUCGUAACAAGGUUUCCGUAGGUGAACCUGCGGAAGGAUCAUUAUUGUAUAACCGAGGUGCGAGGGCUGUCGCUGACCCGAAAGGUCGUGCACGCCCGAGUGCCCUCACACACAUCCAUCUCACCCCUAUGUGCACCACCGCGUGGGUCCCCCUUUGGCUUGUUCGGAGGGGGGCUUACGUUUUCACUCAAACUUUGUAUGCAGUGUAGAAUGUAUUUUUUGUUUUUGCGAUCACGCAAUCAAUACAACUUUCAACAACGGAUCUCUUGGCUCUC